rnacentral:rRNA from 1 species
AUGUUCACGACCUGGCCUGCGAGGAGGCACGGGUGCAGCUCCCUCUUCUGCCACCUCCAUGGCGCCGGGAGCGCCUUGCUGUACCGCGUGCUGGACGCGGUGACGUCGGUGAAAUGCGAGACGCGGCGGGCUCGCAAGCAGGUCAAGGUGCUCGAGGCCCUCGACGUCGCCGGGACGCAGAUGUACCACUUCACCACCAUCGUCAUCGCCGGCAUGGGCUUCUUCACGGACGCCUACGACCUGUUCUCGGUCUCCCUCAUCGCCGACCUCCUGGGCCGCAUCUACUACCACUCGGCGGACGGCAGGCUCCCCCGUAACGUCGCCGGCGCCGUCAGCGGCGUGGCGCUCUGCGGCACGGUCCUGGGGCAGCUCUUCUUCGGCUGGCUCGGCGACAGGAUGGGGCGGAAGCUGAUCUACGGCGUCACGCUCAAGCUCAUGGUGGUGUGCUCGCUCGCGUCCGGCCUCUCCUUCCACAACAAGCCCAACAGGAACAAGCCCAAGUGCGUUGUGGCCACGUUGUGCUUCUUCCGCUUCUGGCUCGGCUUCGGCGUCGGCGGCGACUACCCGCUUUCGGCCACCAUCAUGUCUGAGUAUGCCAACAAGAGGACUCGCGGAGCCUUCAUAGCAGCAGUCUUCGCUAUGCAGGGUCUUGGGAACCUGGCUGCUGGGGCUGUUGUUCUGGUGCUCUCUGCGAGCUUCAAGAACACGGCCGCGUACGAUACUGACUACGUGUGGCGCAUAGUACUCAUGCUCGGUGCCGUUCCUGCCCUGCUCACCUACUAUUGGCGCAUGAAGAUGCCCGAGACGGCGCGCUACACCAUGCUCAUCGCCAAGAACCUCAAGCUAGAGGCGUCUGACAUGGCCGCGGUCCUCGACAUCGACUUCGUGUCCGACAUGGAUGCGGAGGCCGUCGUUAAGCAGGACGAGUUUGGCCUCUUCUCCAUGGAGUUCCUUCACAAGCAUGGCCGCCAGCUCCUCGGAACCACCGUGUGCUGGUUCGUCCUCGACGUCGUCUUCUACUCCCUCAACCUCUUCAUGAAGGACAUCUUCAGCGGCAUCGGCUGGAUUGGAGACGCGGCUGAGAUGAGCCCUCUCGAGCAGACCUACAAGAUAGCCCGCACGCAGGCCAUCAUCGUGGUCGGCGGUUCCCUACCAGGGUACUUCCUCACUGUCCUCUUUGUUGACCGCAUCGGCCGCAUCAAGAUCCAGCUCAUGGGGUUCACCAUGAUGACCAUCUUCAUGAUCGGGCUCGCCGCGCCCUACUAG